AGUCGAACGGUGAUGUCAGAGCUUGCUCUGGCGGAUCAGUGGCGAACGGGUGAGUAACACGUGAGUAACCUGCCCCCGACUCUGGGAUAACUGCUAGAAAUGGUAGCUAAUACCGGAUAUGACGAUUGGCCGCAUGGUCUGGUCGUGGAAAGAAUUUCGGUUGGGGAUGGACUCGCGGCCUAUCAGGUUGUUGGUGAGGUAAUGGCUCACCAAGCCUACGACGGGUAGCCGGCCUGAGAGGGUGACCGGCCACACUGGGACUGAGACACGGCCCAGACUCCUACGGGAGGCAGCAGUGGGGAAUAUUGCACAAUGGGCGAAAGCCUGAUGCAGCAACGCCGCGUGAGGGAUGACGGCCUUCGGGUUGUAAACCUCUUUUAGUAGGGAAGAAGCGAAAGUGACGGUACCUGCAGAAAAAGCACCGGCUAACUACGUGCCAGCAGCCGCGGUAAUACGUAGGGUGCAAGCGUUGUCCGGAAUUAUUGGGCGUAAAGAGCUCGUAGGCGGUUUGUCGCGUCUGCUGUGAAAUCCCGAGGCUCAACCUCGGGUCUGCAGUGGGUACGGGCAGACUAGAGUGCGGUAGGGGAGAUUGGAAUUCCUGGUGUAGCGGUGGAAUGCGCAGAUAUCAGGAGGAACACCGAUGGCGAAGGCAGAUCUCUGGGCCGUAACUGACGCUGAGGAGCGAAAGCAUGGGGAGCGAACAGGAUUAGAUACCCUGGUAGUCCAUGCCGUAAACGUUGGGAACUAGAUGUGGGGACCAUUCCACGGUCUCCGUGUCGCAGCUAACGCAUUAAGUUCCCCGCCUGGGGAGUACGGCCGCAAGGCUAAAACUCAAAGGAAUUGACGGGGGCCCGCACAAGCGGCGGAGCAUGCGGAUUAAUUCGAUGCAACGCGAAGAACCUUACCAAGGCUUGACAUAUACCGGAAACAUGCAGAAAUGUGUGCCCCGCAAGGUCGGUAUACAGGUGGUGCAUGGUUGUCGUCAGCUCGUGUCGUGAGAUGUUGGGUUAAGUCCCGCAACGAGCGCAACCCUCGUUCUAUGUUGCCAGCACGUAAUGGUGGGAACUCAUAGGAGACUGCCGGGGUCAACUCGGAGGAAGGUGGGGAUGACGUCAAAUCAUCAUGCCCCUUAUGUCUUGGGCUUCACGCAUGCUACAAUGGCCGGUACAAAGGGCUGCGAUACCGUAAGGUGGAGCGAAUCCCAAAAAGCCGGUCUCAGUUCGGAUUGAGGUCUGCAACUCGACCUCAUGAAGUCGGAGUCGCUAGUAAUCGCAGAUCAGCAACGCUGCGGUGAAUACGUUCCCGGGCCUUGUACACACCGCCCGUCAAGUCAUGAAAGUCGGUAACACCCGAAGCCAGUGGCCUAACCGCAAGGGAGGAGCGUCCGAA
rnacentral:rRNA from 1 species